GCGUGACCGUCUCCUUUUUUCUCUCUGGCGACUACUCCUUUCAGAAUUGACCCGCGCGGGUUCUUUUCUCCGCGGCCUCCCCCUGCGAGCCGUCAUCGUGGGGCUCCUGCCGGCCGGCCGCUCCUCUAGCGCGGCGCUGCUGCUCGUCGCACCUCCCCUUUUCACUUGCCGCGGUAGCCAUAGAGCAGGAGGUACAUGUUUCCGUCGUCCGGGUGCCUUCGUACGUCAGCAGCGUUCCUCCCGGUACCUCCUUCAUCGGGCUGAAAUCGCCGCCGGCGGCAACCACCCAGCAUCGUCGAGCCCGCCGAGACCCACCUCGCCCCUCCCAGACUAUCUCCGAACCGAUUCCAUGCCGAAAUCGAGGCGGCCGGCAGCGCGCCCGAAGGCCACUCGAGCUUCACCGUCCCUGCCACGAUCGAGUCAGUCGCCGGCCCGAUUCAAUCCGCCGCCGCCUCGAUUCAGUUAUCCGCCACACGAUUCAGUCCGCCGCCAACUCCGACGUCGUCCAUGUACUCUUCCGCUUCGAUUCAGUCCUCUAGCGGUGGCGCGCCCAAGUGGGAGGCGGCGGGAUGCGAGCCCCCGACAGACGGCAUGCUCGGUCAGGCGUGCGUUGGGCGUCGCCGCGUCGGGUCGCACGCACGGGUUUUUCUCAGGUGAGAAAAAAAUCUAAUGAAGAAUCAUGGCGGCUUGCGGUCAGGCUGAUGGUGCUCCCCACAGAAUCAUGGCCACAGGUAAGCUUGAUUUACUAUUGUCUUACAUUGCAUAAUUCAUCAAUUAGCCUACCUCCUGAGACCCACAGGCCACACCACAUGCCUGAGAUUAGUAUACUCCACACCUUUUGUCGAAACACUCAGUGUUACCAACAACGUUUCUAUCAAUUGAGAGUCUCACAGACUGGCUGUCUUCUGUGACCAUGUGCAUUUACAAAUUUGUUUGGCACUCUGUUAACGCAAAAAAACUUGUAAUGCUUGCUAAGAUUUGUCAGAUCCAGUCUGCAAGUGUUUCGUUUGCUUUGUUCGAACACAGAAUUGAACCAUAGCUAUGCCUAAAAGCUUUGCAAAAAUUUUUAUCCGUUUUAGUUUAUAUAUUACAUUGAAUCAAAUACUCCUCUAGAGAGUAGGCAGGAGGCAUCGCAAGAACACACGACAACUAAUUAUGGAUGACUGCAAGAAUUAUACAUCCAGUAAGAACUUGGUCUACAAUUGUGAAUGGGCAGACUAGCAGUACUUUUAUGUCAAACGAAUUAAACGUAAAUGUGGUUCUGCAUCUUUUUCCAGCAGCCGGCACACCACUGAAAAUAAAAUCUUAUCAGCAUAAAAGUUGAACUCUAUGCAAUAUCUCAUUUGUUUUGCUGCUCUCUUGCAUUACAAACUUGGAGUCUUUUACUGUAUUUGUUUCAAGUAGAUGCCAGUUCAAAAUUGAAACAAUCUUUAGUACACAACUUUGACAACAAUUUUUCUAUCGAAAGCACAAAUGAUUUAGCUAAUUCCAUGUAAAAUGUAGUGUUUCCGUAAUAACCAUACCAAAAAUGGACCAGACAUCGUUUCCACCCUUUUUAAUUAGCUCUAUCUUCAGAAGAAGUGAAUUGCUACAGCUUAACUUGUCAGUUAAGACAACAUUUUUCUUCUUAGGGGAAGCUGGAACGAUGGCGAGUUAUUUUAUCUGUCGCUAUGCGACUUCGCUGUGCUACGUGUCUCUAGAUGAGAUAGAAAGAUGCAUGGAAAUAGGACUACUGUGCACCCAAAUAGAGCGGGGAGACAGACCCACCAUGCCGGAUGUUUUUGAGAUGCUAAAUCAGUAAUCUGCAAGAAUAAAAACAGGGCCUGAUCAGGCAAAUUGAUUUUACAACCGGGGUCGCUUGUCCUCCUUGAUUGGGAGUACCACUCAGCAAAAUAAAGAUCUCGCUGGGAUAUAUUUGGAACCUGGAAGGAUGUGUGUGAAAAAUAACACUUUUGGAUGAUAAUUUCAUGCUAUGUAGGAGUAGAAUACUUCAUCCCAUGACCUGCUUUUAGGAUGCAAAGCUCUGUUUUCCCAUCAGGAAAACGAAUAUAUAUUGAUACCGUCUGGAACAUAUUUUUUAUGUAACACAACACUUUUUUUUGCGAGUAUUUAUGUAACACUUUUUAUGUAUAGGAGGGAGUAUAAUUUUUUUUAACACAACACUAACAAAUUGAAAUGGAGUUUUAAUGUUUUGGAAUACUAUCAGGUUAUCUUUUAUACACAUGUGAAUUUUCACAUUCAUUAUGCGCGAUCAUCAUCGUAUAUGUGAAACAACUGCAGGGUAAUAUUUGUCGCAGCCGGUUAUAAGCGAUCAAUGUUUCUAUCUGUGAUUCCGUCGUUCCGUAGCAACGCUCGGGCAUUGUACUAGUCAGUGGCGGAUCUAGGUUUUUGAGACAGGAUGGUCCAAUGUAUAAACUUUUAUCCCAAUAUAAAUUAUAACCAACAAUUUUUUUACCUCAAACAUACUACUAGUAGUAUUGAAUUUGGGGAGAGAAAAAAAACCGGCAUUGGAACAAUUUUGCGAUAAUUUCAAUUCAAUCAAUGAGCAAAUCUUAAUUCGAUUCAUUGAAAGACCGAGAAAAAUGUCGCCGGCUCCAUGUAAGCUACUGCCCCGUCGCAUGCUCGCGCUGAUGAAGCGUAUGUUUGCCGUUCGCUGGCAGUCAGCGAUGAUGAUGACGAGAAAUACAAUGCGAUGUUAGCUGCUCAUGUUCGUCUGCUCGGCAAAAAUACGAUACGAUGCCAACUGCUCGUGACGAUCGCUAGGCUGCUACAAGGCCCGAUCUGAUGUGGUGAUGCACACUACACAACAGAAAGAAAACGAGAACUGGCCAGGAAGAUAGGCUAUUUGCUCGGGCUGAUUUUGCUUUUUUGGUGGAUUUAAGAUACACUAGUGUAUAUGUAUGCGGGCUAUAUUUCCAGGGUGGUCCUAUGGAUCCGCCGGUGGUACUAGUCACCACUUAGGAUCCUUAUACAUGACAUGCCAUCAAUGAUAAGGACCGUCAAUGGUAAUAGGUCAUCAGAUUCGUGCCAUUGGGAGGUGGCACAACCACUCACCAUUGCAAUUUUACAAUAACCACUGACAAGCUCAGCCCAUAAGAAAUGAGUCUUUAGGCGAACGAGCUUCUAGCCUAAUGGCUAGAGGUUCUAGUAGCACCCCUUUGGUUCUGGGUUUGACUCCCCAUUGGAGCGAAUUUAGGGUCUAAGGCCGGCUUUGAUUUCACGUGGCGCCGCGGUGCCGCUGUGUAUGGGUGGGCACGAGGUUCGAAGAUUUUCCCGGCCAGUGUGUGAAGGCUUCUUCUUUCAUGGAUACCAGGGGUUUCUUCCCCCCGCAGGCCUAGUUUUUUUUUAAGACGAGUCUUUAGUGACACAAUGUUCUAUAAUAGUAAUGCACUUGCUUUUGCCUGUAGCAUGUACAUUUUUGAAAGAGGACUUUUACGGUAGGGACUAGACAAUGUGAGCCAUCCAUCAAGCUAAUCCAAAAAGGCCUAGAUUUAUCAAUACCAGAAGGCAAAGAGAGUAGUAGUAUUUGUUCAAAGGGCAAAUAUAGGAAGAGAUCCCUGGCAAAUCCUACAGAUCCGAGAACAAAAAUUAUUGAGGAGGAUAUGGUGGUUUUUUCUAAUUAGUAUCACGUCACCUAUUUUUACCAUAUACCAUAUGUAGUUACUAAUGGCUAGAGAUUCAGUGUGCUGACUUCAGGGGGGUGUCGAGGUCUUAUGAAAAUUACAUGUGUUUAGAGUUACAGGGUACCAUUGCCAGGUGGCAAGAACCAGAAAUUGACAGGUUUGUUUCAAUGCUUGUUGGAAUUUGCAGGUUGUGUGAAGGCUCUGGAUGGAUUUCUUGAGGGAAAAACAGUAGGCCAAAUGACCUACCGUAAUUAAAUUAAGGGAAAACCAAAAAUUGUCAAGUUUGUUUCAAUGCCUGUUGGAAUUUUAGUUGGUUCCCCUUUGGUGUCCUGGCCUGGCAUCUGUUCUUAACUUUCCCUACAGAUCUUUUACUGAUUAUUAUAGAGUGCUAAUUAUGGUGCUAAAUAUUCUCUUGGGUAGUGGGUGUGCUUGUGAUUAUAAACUGUUGAUUGUCGCCUUACUCAGAACUAGCAGUUACAGCAAGAGCAACAGUCCAAGCUUCUUCUGCAAGGCUGGUGCAGCAACAUAAUUCCUGUCUUCCACUUUGCGCCAGACCAAGAUAACAAAUCUCAUGGAUGGUAGAAUCUCACGUCUGAGAUAUUAAUGACCUAAUUAGCUUCUUGUGAGAAGACCAACAAAUCUAGAGAUGGAGAGCCUGAUGGAGAAUGUCUAUAUAUAAUACAGAUCGAAUCAACGUUUGAUCUGAAUAUACUACUCAAUCCUGGCACAGGUAAAUUGUACCGUAAAAGUGCUCUACUGCUCUUUUGAAAGGCUCUUUUUAGUUCUUUUUGUGUAAAUCUAGUCAUCUACC